CCUACGGGAGGCAGCAGUGGGGGAUAUUGGACAAUGGGGGAAACCCUGAUCCAGCGACGCCGCGUGAGUGAAGAAGUAUUUCGGUAUGUAAAGCUCUAUCAGCAGGGAAGAAAGAAAUGACGGUACCUGACUAAGACGCCCCGGCUAACUACGUGCCAGCAGCCGCGGUAAUACGUAGGGGGCAAGCGUUAUCCGGAAUUACUGGGUGUAAAGGGAGCGUAGACGGUAAUGCAAGUCUGGAGUGAAAGGCGGGGGCCCAACCCCCGGACUGCUCUGGAAACUGUGUAACUGGAGUGCAGGAGAGGCAGGCGGAAUUCCUAGUGUAGCGGUGAAAUGCGUAGAUAUUAGGAGGAACACCAGUGGCGAAGGCGGCCUGCUGGACUGUAACUGACGUUGAGGCUCGAAAGCGUGGGGAGCAAACAGGAUUAGAUACCCGUGUAGUC
rnacentral:rRNA from 1 species